UUUCCGUAGGUGAACCUGCGGAAGGAUCAUUAAUGAGUGAGGGCCCCUCGGGGUCAAACCUCCCACCCGUGUUUACCGAACCUUGUUGCUUCGUCGCGCCCGCCUCCCGCCCGCCGCGGGGCAUCUCGCCCCCCGCCCGCGGCCGCCGCAGCCUCCAGUGAACGCUGUCGGGAAUAUGCAGUAUGAGACAAUUAUUAAAACAACGAAAACUUUCAUCAACGGAUCUCUUGGUACCGGCAUCGAUCAAGAACGCAGCAGACCGGACGCGCACACCUUUCA
rnacentral:misc_RNA from 1 species